UGUUAUCUGAUCUCUAUUUCCUGAGAUAUUGGCUACUUCUGGUUACUUCCGGGAAAUUUUCUUGACAAUUUGCAAAAAGUAAAAAUUGAGCUGUAUUAUUCUAACAAUUUCAAAGGGUUUUCUUGCAUGCAUUAGGGUGUUGCAGCUUUUAUUCCGUGUUUUUCUUGCUAUCAACAGUACAGGCUGACCCUACGAGCAACGGCAGUAUUAGUUACAAAUGUUUAGCGCCUCGUCUUGUAACUAGUAGCUGAUAUUCUAGGUUUUUAAAUUUAAAAUUUGAAUCAACUGUCUGAGCUGGAAGGCGGGAGGCGCUAACGUCUGCUAACGUCAAAAUUAUCAGUUUCUCCCCGGCAGCUAAGGAUAUAUUAUAGGGGAAAAUCUAUGGUAAAAUCAUAGAUUUUAGCGACCAUUUUAGGUCGCUAGAGGCCCCCAUAAUUCUGGGGGGUAAUAGGUGUGACCAUAUUAUAGUGUUUCUUUUUCUUCUUAGUGUCACCUUAGUUAGAUUGUUUCUCUGAGUUAGACUUGUAGUUACUUGUCUUAUCAUUCUCGAUUUACACUACGACGACAUUUUGUGUUGCACGUUUGGGCAACAAUUGACAAUUGGAUUGGAUUGGAGACAAUUGGCAUUUGCUCUAUACAAAGGACAAUAAAACAGAGAGCGUAAGUCCUUCUAAUAGACCAACAUAUCUGCAACCAAGGAUCUGCUUAGGGACAGUGAGACAUCAGCAAAUACAACAACAGAAUCAUAUCCAAAUUGUAGCACAAAACUUGUACAGCUGUGAUACCUCCCAAACACCUAUGCAGUUUGGAAUGCUUGUCAGGCGAAUGCAGAUUAAUGUAAAAGAUGUCAAAUGUUAGACAUGUGGAAAAGGCCUGAUAGGAUGUGUGGACGCCUUCGGUAACAUAGAUUGGAACAUAUGAUUUUUCAUGUUGGCUACACCAAGGCAGUAAUAACUGUGCUGCAAACAAUCUGCAAAACAUGCUUGUCUGUCCAUCUCAGUGAUGAGAUGGCAAAUUUGUUGAGUAAAUCUGACUAAGGAAGCAAAUCUGAGAAGUGUUCCUAAAAGUAACUUGUCCCAGUGUGAUUUUCAUAGCAAUCCAUCAUUUGUUCCAAAGAUUUUUUUAUGAAGCUACAACAUGGAAGGUCUUGAACCAGUAAGCAUCAUACGGGGAGCUCCUAUGUAUGAAAGGAACUUUCUUCAGUAUUGAUACUGAGAUAAAUGACUUUGUUCUCAUCAACUUUCAGUUUAAAGAAACCAUUAACUCCUCAAAGACCACAAGUACACCUGUUACCACCACCCGGUUCCAAAUCGAUGAUUGCUUGGAUUCUAGAAAAAACAAUGCUCGUGACUCGGUGUCACCAACGUGAUACAAAGUUAUUCAACUCUUUACAUCAAACCUGUUGAGAAGGAUGCCCCAGGCUGGACACUAUUACUCCAAUUGAAAAUGAAUGGACACAGUUCAUUUAUAGCACUCAUGCAAGAUGCAACCACCAUUUAGACAUCUUAAAAACGUAUUUUAGGAUAUGCAAACUAUGGCACUAAGUUAAUUUUUAUAUAAUACUUCGCAUGUUUGUCGCAUGUGAAAAAGAAUAAAAAUGGAAUGUGAUGCCUAGGUAGCAUAAUGAGGUCAGAAGAUUGCCCAACAUCUAUGGAAAAAUGACUUGAUUGAUGAACCAGCUAUAUUUAGCAGGUUGGCUUUAUUGUAGAACUGUUAAACAUUUGAUAUUCAUAAUGUUCGCAAGGCUUUUAAGAAAAUAGUUUUCAUUGCACUGGCGACAAUUCGGAAUGGCGAGGUGCGAAUGAAUCGGAUUAAAAGUCAGCGUGGAAAUGCAAUAGUUCCGCAGCUGGCAAGAAAUGAGAGGACGAUUGGUGAUGAGACAAUUUAUUCUAAUCGCUGUAACUCAUGGACACGUCGACAUUCGUGCAUUUUUAAUAAAAAAAUAAGCGCGUUCAUUCCCUUCAACCAAUUGUCAACGCGAGGCCCCGUAGGAACCUUCCAUACGUCACUUUUAUUGUAGCUGACAGUGACUGUAAUUAUGGCUUACUUAGCCCAUGCUUAUCCAGAGCUGCCUUCUUGAUCCCCGCCCUAAAAACUAUCAUCUUCAAAAGCUUCCAGGUUUGUUAUGGUCGUAGAACAGCAGACGACGGAGGUGAGGAAGUAGUGACGGAAAUAAGAAAUUCAUACAUAUUUCGUUUGAAGUACGUACUACCUUUUGCACUUGUACAGAGCGUUCGGGAACGAAAUUAGUUGUGGAUAGGUUUGCUGUUGACAAGCAAGGGAAGGAUUUUUACCAAACCAGACAGGAAUGAAAUUUUUUGUGGCUGGUUUUGUUGUUGACAAGCAAGGGGAGGACAUUUUUACAAAAUAGACAGGAUAUUUAUUCUAGAUCCCAUAAUGUUUGGGUAAUAAAUCGUAAGAAAAAUGGCAAAGGAUUUCACCGUAUUAAGUAGAUGUAUCAGCAAAAAUUUAAUACUAACUCAUGUUUUUUCUUUAAUGUAGAUCACAAAUCAUACUGAAUUAGAAUAGGAUGUUGACUGAGGCUGGGUGCCAAAAGAAUGGAUGAUAAUUGAUUGGACUCUAAACACUGCUGAGAUGGCCACUGAUGUGCAGUUCUUGUACUGCGAAUUCCCGGAUUGCCUUUGAAUUAUUGCCGAUGACAUCUCAAUUCUGUAGUUGGUAGUUAUCUGUUGAACAUAGUUGAAACUCAUAUUUACCAGAGUUUUGUUUUCCUGCAGAAUAAUUUUGUAUUCAAUCUUUGUAUAUAUUGGAUUAUCCGGUGUAUUGAAGUAGUUUCACAGAAUUUGAUUUAACUCUUUCGGGGAUCGAUCCCCAAACUUUCGGUGUGCAUUGCCGAUGCUCAACCGUUGAGCCAU